UCUCAGCAGGGAGAGCAACAGCAACUACCUGGAAACAUACAUCCAAAAUCGUUUUGUGACCCUUAAAGGAAAGUACUAUGGCGGUACCAUGGUACGGUGAUGCUAUCAGAUGGAAGACUGUUAAAAACAUCAUCCGUUGGCCAGAACAUGGUAAAUGGGUAAAAGGGUUGAUGCUGCACCACAUGCAUCAAUUCUGCAUCCUGUGUGAAAGAUUUUUUGUAAGAAAAUGGCAGGUCCAAAAAAAAAAAUGUAAGUGCAGAAUAAAUAUUACCUGAAGGAGCUUGCUGAAGAUUUUGAAGCCAUAUUGUUCAGCAGCUGGGGUUAUGGUCAACUGCAACAUAAAUUGAAUUUUAGUUUGUGGAAUGACAUUUUUAUGACUUUUCGGAACUUACAAAAUGGUGGACAUCGGUUGAGUUACAUACAUUGGUGAUGAUAUUCGCCUUGCCCGUUAGAUCGUAUGGAAAGAGGACAUUGUCUGUGAAAUGUAUGACUCCAUUGGAGCACUCAACAUCACUGGUGAGGAUCUUUGUCUUAUCGUUGAUGUACACAACACCCUGAGAGACAAAAGUAGACACUUCAGAUCAGAGUCAGAAAAUAACUUUUCCACUUGGGAAACUGAUUUACAAGGGAAGCUUUUGUAAUCAACUUAUUAAAUGGAUCUGUUCAUGUUGU